GACCACAGUUUCCGUGUCACAUGGAGGCUCACGGUUUGGGGAGAGCGGGCUCUAGGGCUGGACUCACCGGGAGGGAAAAGGAGAGUACAGACGGCCCUCCCUCUCAGUGGGACUGCUCCGAGAAAACAAGCAGGCAAUAAACAUCAUUCUGAACAGGCAUCCCAGUGCUUCCCCAGACUGCCCAAAGGAGGGCCAAGACAUAUUAAGAUGAUGAAGAAGCCCUUCUCUUCUCUGUUAACAAAUGAAACACAGAACUGUACCUGUCCUGAGAUAUGAGAGAAAGAAAAACAGACUACAUCGAUUCCAACUGCUGAAUUGAUCACUACUACUAGACUAUGGAUCAGAGGCUGAAAAACAUUGUACUAUUAUUGGCAAAUUAAGUCUAUUUCUGUUAUGGAAUUAAGUUUUCUUGCCUUUUUUAUUCCAUCCUUCAAAGUUCUAUCUUAUAGUUUGUGUGAUACCAUUUUAUCCAUGAACAUAUU